UACGGAGGGGACUAGCGUUGUUCGGAAUUACUGGGCGUAAAGCGCACGUAGGCGGAUUUGUAAGACAGGUGUGAAAUCCCCGGGCUUAACCUGGGAACUGCAUUUGUGACUGCAUCGCUGGAGUGCGGCAGAGGGGGAUGGAAUUCCGCGUGUAGCAGUGAAAUGCGUAGAGAUGUGGAGGAACACCGAUGGCGAAGGCAGCCCCCUGGGUCAAGAUUGACGCUCAUGCACGAAAGCGUGGGGAGCAAACAGG
rnacentral:rRNA from 1 species